rnacentral:lncRNA from 1 species
GCAGAUUAUUGUCAAAACCUCAUGCAGGAUUGUGGACCGUUUCAACAAACCUUAACGCCGUUAAUAAGAGGGUACAAGAGAGUGUUGUGGACUUCCUCUGACUGCAGCCAGCCAGGCAGCCCAGAUGACACAAGUUAGAUCAAGCAUAGAAAAAGAAUCCAGGCCUCCACAUCGGAUUACAUCUGACAAGCAACAUGGACCCAGAUUUGUCCACUCUCAAGAUCUUCCUUGGCUCACAGAACUUUUCCUUCCCUCUGUCAUCCAAAAAUGUUUUGGACCAUAUGCAGCUAAAUGGAAACAGAUGCCCC